UACGUAGGGUGCAAGCGUUAAUCGGAAUUACUGGGCGUAAAGCGUGCGCAGGCGGCUUUGCAAGACAGAUGUGAAAUCCCCGGGCUCAACCUGGGAACUGCAUUUGUGACUGCAUGGCUAUAGUACGGUAGAGGGGGAUGGAAUUCCGCGUGUAGCAGUGAAAUGCGUAGAUAUGCGGAGGAACACCGAUGGCGAAGGCAAUCCCCUGGACCUGUACUGACGCUCAUGCACGAAAGCGUGGGGAGCAAACAGG
rnacentral:rRNA from 1 species